rnacentral:misc_RNA from 1 species
UGUUCAGAAGUGUGUCGGGUUAUUAGUGGGGUUAAUAUUGAUAGUUGUAUGGCUACUAUUUUGCUCAUUUUGAUUCCCAAAGUCCCUCAUCCAGACUCUCUGUCCCAGUUUCGUCCCAUUAGCCUUUGCUCUGUGGCUUAUAAGAUCAUCAUUAAGAUCUUGGCUGAUCAGUUGAAACUCGUCUUGCCUUGUUUGGUGAGUCCGACUCAAACAAGUUUUAUUCUAGGAUGACAUACUACUGACAGUAUAGUUAUUGCUCAAGAAGUAAUUCAACAUAUGAAAGCAAAGGCUAAGCAGAGGGGUUAUAUGGCAAUUAAAGUGGAUUUGGAAAAAGCCUAUGAUCAUGUUCAGUGGAACUUUUUAAGAGAGUCUUUGGUGAAGGCUGGGCUUCUGAUAUCUUUUUUUAGUUGUAUUAUGAAGUGCACUACCUCCUGUUCAAUGCGGAUUCUAUUGAAUGGGGGUAUGACUAAAGCUUUUAGCCCAUCUAGAGGUGUGAGAUAGGGCGACCCAUUAUCGCCAUAUCUGUUUGUUUUCUGCAUGGAAAGGUUGGCUCGUGGUAUUCAGCAAGCGAUGGAUAAUGGUUGCUGGAAGCCCUUAAAGUUGUGUCGAAAUGGUCCUCUUCUUUCACAUUUAUUUUUUGCGAACGAUCUCAUUCUUUUCGCUAAGCCUCUUCGAAACAAGCUACAGUUAUUCAGGGGGUGCUUGAUGAAUUUUGUAAAUGUUCGAGGCAAAAGGUGAAUGUAUCUAAAACUAAAGUCUAUUUUUCAAAGAAUGUUACAAUUCAAACCAGAAGGAUUUUAGGGGAAUUACUAGGCUUCUCAAUUUCUAGUGACCUUGGGACUUAUUUGGAAUUGGGAGUUCCUUUACUUCACUUACAAGUGUGUCGAGCCACUUAUCAAUAUGUUCUUGAUCGGGUUCAGAAACGAUUGUCUGGGUGGAAUGCAUCUCAUUUAUCUUUGGCUGGUCAAAUUACUUUAGCGCAGUCUGCUUUAACUGCCAUGCUGACAUUUACUAUGCAAACUGUGAAACUUUCGUCUUAUAUUUGAGAUGAAAUUGAGAAGGCUUGCCCAAAAUUUGUUGGGGGUUCGCUGGAUGGUAAUAGAAAGAUUGCCUUAGUUCCAUGGCAGGAUGUUCAGAAGCCGAAGGAUGAAGGUCGUUUGGGUAUUAGAGAUAUUCAUCUUCUCAACCAAUCCUUUAUUUUAAAAAUGUGUUGGGGUUUGGUUUCAAAUCCAGAGUCUUUCUGGGUUCGUGUUCUUCGCUCCAAAUACAAAGUUAGUCAUGAUUUGGUUCCAGAUGAAUUAGGAAGACGAAGUGGUUCUAUGUUGUGGCGUGCAAUGCAUGACAGUUGUGAAUGAAUACACAUAAUCUUGAAAGCUAUUUUUAUCUGUGCUAUAAUGGUGUCUGAUGGUUUAAGGCCUUCUGAUGUGUUUGCUGAAGACGUAUGUUAUACCGGCUUAGUUCACAAAGAAAAAUAUUAUAUGGUAAUUAAACUUAUGAUGCGAUGUCUAUAUUUCGACUGAAUUUAGUCCAUUACUAUGUAAAUAGUUUAAUAAAACUAUAUAUAGUUUUUAAAAUGGAUUUGCGUAGAUAUUUCAUGAGAUUUUUUGUUGUAAUUUUUGCUUUAUGAAUUUAGUGCAACCGAGGCUUGUUGGUACGGUUCCUUGACACCAAGUUUUAACAGUGGAUACGUUGUAGAUGGUGUUCAUACUGUUUAAAAUAUGGGGCUAGUUGUGGUGCUGUUUUCAUGUUUGAUGAAAUUUAUUAAUUCUAAUUUUGAUUAAUUCCUACAUUUAAUUACUUAUCUUCUUCAAAUUUUUAUUUAAUUUGAUUCGGUUUUGGUCUAAAACUUGCAGCACCAAAGUGACUACAAAUCUCAAUCACAAUAACCAGACAUAUUUUGUUCUUUGUUGCAGGGCCGUCAUGGCCAUAGCCAACCACAAUAUGGGCAAAGAUAUUUUAAAACUUCACAAAAAUGUAAAUAAACUAAAAAAUUAAAAAAAUAUAUAUUAAAACACGAAGAAACAAUAAGAAAUUAAAUAAAAUUCUUUUCCUAAUUCUUUAAUUGGAAUCUAAACUUUUACAAAAAUUUAAUUCAAUAUAAUUGAUUUCCUUUUUAUUAAUUCUUUGAUUGGAAUGAAAGAAUUCAAUUCUU